UCAGAGACAGUAGGUGGCUUAAAAAAGGUAACAUCAUCAAGAAAGGGGUGGAGCAAGACUUUGAAGUCAAGGACUCUCAUUAUUUUAUAACAUCUUUCUUAAUAAUGAGAAGGUGCUUGUAACAGGGUCUGUGUAAAAGAUAAAACUUGGAAACACCCAGAUAUGGCAAA